GCCUAACACAUGCAAGUCGAACGGCAGCACAGUAAGAGCUUGCUCUUACGGGUGGCGAGUGGCGGACGGGUGAGGAAUACAUCGGAAUCUACUCUGUCGUGGGGGAUAACGUAGGGAAACUUACGCUAAUACCGCACACGACCUACGGGUGAAAGCAGGGGAUCUUCGGACCUUGCGCGAUUGAAUGAGCCGAUCUCGGAUUAGCUAGUUGGCGGGGUAAAGGCCCACCAGGGCGACGAUCCGUAGCUGGUCUGAGAGGAUGAUCAGCCACACUGGAACUGAGACACGGUCCAGACUCCUACGGGAGGCAGCAGUGGGGAAUAUUGGACAAUGGGCGCAAGCCUGAUCCAGCCAUACCGCGUGGGUGAAGAAGGCCUUCGGGUUGUAAAGCCCUUUUGUUGGGAAAGAAAUCCAGCUGGUUAAUACCCGGUUGGGAUGACGGUACCCAAAGAAUAAGCACCGGCUAACUUCGUGCCAGCAGCCGCGGUAAUACGAAGGGUGCAAGCGUUACUCGGAAUUACUGGGCGUAAAGCGUGCGUAGGUGGUCGUUUAAGUCCGUUGUGAAAGCCCUGGGCUCAACCUGGGAACUGCAGUGGAUACUGGGCGACUAGAGUGUGGUAGAGGGUAGCGGAAUUCCUGGUGUAGCAGUGAAAUGCGUAGAGAUCAAGAGGAACAUCCGUGGCGAAGGCAGCUACCUGGACCAACACUGACACUGACGCACGAAAGCGUGGGAGAGCAAACAGAGAUUAGAUACCCUGGUAGUCCACGCCCUAAACGAUGCGAACUGGAUGUUGGGUGCAAUUUGGCACGCAGUAUCGAAGCUAACGCGUUAAGUUCGCCGCCUGGGGAGUACGGUCGCAAGACUGAACUCAAGGAAUUUGACGGGGGCCCGCACAGCNUGGAGUAUGUGGUUUAAUUCGAUGCAACGCGAAGACUCUUACCUGGCUCUUGACAUGUCGAGCAUCUUUCCAGAGAU
rnacentral:rRNA from 1 species